rnacentral:rRNA from 1 species
AUGUGGAAUGAUGAGCUUCAAGUUAAUGUGAAUACGGCUUCCUUCUAUGUUAUCUUAGCGAAUGUAGUUCAUAUAGCUACCGAUAGAGAUUUUGGUCUAGUUUGCAUCUAUGGUGAUCCUUAUCACGGACAAACUGAUGUGAUUUGGGAUCAGAUUUCAAAUUUUGUGUAUGAUAACCCUGGGAAGCCUAUGUUAUGUAUGGGAGAUCUCAAUGAACUUUUGUAUGAUGUGGAUAAAAGUAAUGCUAAUGUGAAUUAUCGUCGCAUGUAUGCUUUU